GUUCCUCUUUUUCCAUUUUGGGACGUCCCCCAAAUAAGUUCAUCUUUCUUUCUUUCUAUUUUUGGACAACUACCCCACCACUAAUAAUACUUUAUUUAUUCUUAAUUUUCACUUUUUCACCACUCCCAAUACUAAUUAUAACACUUUUUCACCUUUUCAUCACUCCCAAUACUAAUUAUAACAUAUUUUUUUCCACUAUCAAUACACUUUACCAUUUUCCUUAAAACCCGUGCCGUCCC
rnacentral:lncRNA from 1 species